rnacentral:rRNA from 1 species
AAUAUGGGUCAAUGGGCGGAAGCCUGAACCAGCCAUCCCGCGUGCAGGAAGACGGCCUUAUGGGUUGUAAACUGCUUUUGUACAAGAAGAAAGGUACCUACGUGUAGGUAUUUGACGGUACUGUACGAAUAAGCACCGGCUAACUCCGUGCCAGCAGCCGCGGUAAUACGGAGGGUGCAAGCGUUAUCCGGAUUUAUUGGGUUUAAAGGGUCCGUAGGCGGAUUAAUAAGUCAGAGGUGAAAUCCUGCAGCUUAACUGUAGAAUUGCCUUUGAUACUGUUAGUCUUGAAUUAGGGUGCAGUGGUUGGAAUGUGUAGUGUAGCGGUGAAAUGCAUAGAUAUUACACAGAACACCGAUUGCGAAGGCAGAUCACUAACCCUAUAUUGACGCUGAGGGACGAAAGCGUGGGGAGCGAACAGG